GUCGAGCGGGGUUGUGUAGAAGCUUGCUUCUACAUAACCUAGCGGCGGACGGGUGAGUAACACGUAGGCAACCUGCCCACAAGACAGGGAUAACUACCGGAAACGGUAGCUAAUACCCGAUACAUCCUUUUCCUGCAUGGGAGAAGGAGGAAAGACGGAGCAAUCUGUCACUUGUGGAUGGGCCUGCGGCGCAUUAGCUAGUUGGUGGGGUAAAGGCCUACCAAGGCGACGAUGCGUAGCCGACCUGAGAGGGUGAUCGGCCACACUGGGACUGAGACACGGCCCAGACUCCUACGGGAGGCAGCAGUAGGGAAUCUUCCGCAAUGGGCGAAAGCCUGACGGAGCAACGCCGCGUGAGUGAUGAAGGUUUUCGGAUCGUAAAGCUCUGUUGCCAGGGAAGAACGUCUUGUAGAGUAACUGCUACAAGAGUGACGGUACCUGAGAAGAAAGCCCCGGCUAACUACGUGCCAGCAGCCGCGGUAAUACGUAGGGGGCAAGCGUUGUCCGGAAUUAUUGGGCGUAAAGCGCGCGCAGGCGGCUCUUUAAGUCUGGUGUUUAAUCCCGAGGCUCAACUUCGGGUCGCACUGGAAACUGGGGAGCUUGAGUGCAGAAGAGGAGAGUGGAAUUCCACGUGUAGCGGUGAAAUGCGUAGAGAUGUGGAGGAACACCAGUGGCGAAGGCGACUCUCUGGGCUGUAACUGACGCUGAGGCGCGAAAGCGU
rnacentral:rRNA from 2 species